rnacentral:rRNA from 1 species
GAUGAACGCUGGCGGCGUGCCUAAUACAUGCAAGUAGAACGCUGAAGCUUGGUGCUUGCACCGAGCGGAUGAGUUGCGAACGGGUGAGUAACGCGUAGGUAACCUGCCUGGUAGCGGGGGAUAACUAUUGGAAACGAUAGCUAAUACCGCAUAACAGUAGAUAUUGCAUGAUAUCUGCUUGAAAGGUGCAAUUGCAUCACUACCAGAUGGACCUGCGUUGUAUUAGCUAGUUGGUGAGGUAACGGCUCACCAAGGCGACGAUACAUAGCCGACCUGAGAGGGUGAUCGGCCACACUGGGACUGAGACACGGCCCAGACUCCUACGGGAGGCAGCAGUAGGGAAUCUUCGGCAAUGGGGGGAACCCUGACCGAGCAACGCCGCGUGAGUGAAGAAGGUUUUCGGAUCGUAAAGCUCUGUUGUAAGAGAAGAACGAGUGUGAGAGUGGAAAGUUCACACUGUGACGGUAUCUUACCAGAAA